rnacentral:rRNA from 1 species
CCUACGGUGGGCAGCAGUGGGGAAUAUUGCACAAUGUGGGAAACCCUGAUGCAGCGACGCCGCGUGAGUGAAGAAGUAUUUCGGUAUGUAAAGCUCUGUCAGCAGGGAAGAAAAUGACGGUACCUGACCAAGAAGCCCCGGCUAACUACGUGCCAGCAGCCGCGGUAAUACGUAGGGGGCAAGCGGUAUCCGGAUUUACUGGGUGUAAAGGGAGCGUAGACGGCGGGGCAAGUCUGGAGUGAAAGGCGGGGGCUCAACCCCCGGACUGCUCUGGAAACUGCCAGGCUGGAGUGCAGGAGAGGUAAGUGGAAUGCAUGGUGUAGCGGUGAAAUGCGUAGAUAUUAGGAGGAACACCAUGGGCGAAGGCGGCUUACUGGACUGUAACUGACGUUGAGGCUCGAAAGCGUGGGGAGCAAACAGGAUUAGAUACCCCUGUAGUC